rnacentral:rRNA from 1 species
UACAGAGGGUGCGAGCGUUAAUCGGAAUUACUGGGCGUAAAGCGUGCGUAGACGGUUAUUUAAGUCGGAUGUGAAAGCCCCGGGCUCAACCUGGGAAUUGCAUUCGAGACUGAAUAGCUAGGGUACGGUAGAGGGAAGUGGAAUUUCCGGUGUAGCGGUGAAAUGCGUAGAUAUCGGAAGGAACAUCAGUGGCGAAAGCGGGUCUCUGGACAGUUCCUGACGCUGAGGCACGAAGGCCAGGGGAGCAAACGGG